AAUCAACGCUGGCGGCGUGCCUCAGACAUGCAAGUCGAACGAUUAAAGCUCUCUUCGGAGAGUGCAUAGAGUGGCGCACGGGUGAGUAACACGUAAGUAAUCUACCUUCGAGUGGGGAAUACCGUCCGGAAACGGACGCUAAUACCGCAUAAUGCAGCGGCAUCGCAAGAUGACAGUUGUUAAAGAUUUAUCGCUUGAAGAGGAGCUUGCGGCGGAUUAGCUAGUUGGUAAGGUAAUGGCUUACCAAGGCUACGAUCUGUAACCGGUCUAAGAGGACGGUCGGUCACACUGACACUGAAUAACGGGUCAGACUCCUACGGGAGGCAGCAGUCGGGAAUUUUGGGCAAUGGGCGAAAGCCUGACCCAGCAACGCCGCGUGAAGGAUGAAGUAUUUCGGUAUGUAAACUUCGAAAGAACGGGAAGAAUCAAUGACGGUACCAUUUAUAAGGUCCGGCUAA
rnacentral:rRNA from 1 species